UACGUAGGGUGCGAGCGUUGUCCGGAAUUAUUGGGCGUAAAGAGCUCGUAGGCGGCCUGUUGCGUCGGCUGUGAAAACCCGAGGCUCAACCUCGGGCCUGCAGCCGAUACGGGCAGACUAGAGUUCGGCAGGGGAGACUGGAAUUCCUGGUGUAGCGGUGAAAUGCGCAGAUAUCAGGAGGAACACCGGUGGCGAAGGCGGGUCUCUGGGCCGAUACUGACGCUGAGGAGCGAAAGCGUGGGGAGCGAACAGG
rnacentral:rRNA from 1 species